GCGCGCGUAGGCGGUUUCUUAAGUCUGAUGUGAAAGCCCACGGCUCAACCGUGGAGGGUCAUUGGAAACUGGGAGACUUGAGUGCAGAAGAGGAGAGUGGAAUUCCAUGUGUAGCGGUGAAAUGCGCAGAGAUAUGGAGGAACACCAGUGGCGAAGGCGGCUCUCUGGUCUGUAACUGACGCUGAUGUGCGAAAGCGUGGGGAUCAAACAGGAUUAG
rnacentral:rRNA from 1 species